AAUUUUAGCUUUUUGUUAUUGUGUAGGAAGAACUCCAACCUAAACUAUGCAGAGCAACUUAUGGACUAGGUUGCCAUUCUUGAUGAUGUUAAAGACCAGGAUGAGGAAUAUGAUGGAUCACUAGGGGACUGAGACAAAUUGGAGACGAUACAAUCUUCUCAUUCUAUAUAUUUUGACAAUAAGUUAACUAGGUUGAUCAGAUUAUCCUGUAGAUUUUAUGGAACAACCUUCUGUUGGUCUUGCUAUACAAAGCCUUCUAAGACCUACAUAUAUGGAAGAACACACUAUCAUCUAGAAGCAUGUAUUGGCAUCCAUCAAGCAAUGCUGAUGUAAAUCACAUUGUCGAAGAACAAAAGCCUGGAGGCAUUUUUUACAUCAUAAGUUAUAAACAUGAAAAGGAACCAGCUCAAGAUAUCCCAACUCGGGCAGAGGAAUUGGAGAAGGACGAAAGUCUCGAAAAUGGAAUUUCAUUUUACAAGAUAGAGAUUAUUCAAAUUCAGUUAUAUUCAGCACACAGACAUGAGGUAAAGUGUUCAAUUUUUCUUUGGUGAAUCUCAAAAGGUACGAAACUUUUCAUUCUUUAGACCCAAGUUCCUUCCGGAGACAAAAAAAAAAACUGUGACAUUUUAUUAAUGAACAAUUUUUGUAUUUAGAAAUCACUCAUCAAAGUUAUUUAACGUGAAGAUAUUUUUAAGGUCCAUCGAAGCGGACAAAUUUGAUUGGUUUCGGAGUUGUUACUCAAUGCUUGACUCUCAGUAAAGUUAAUCAUCUGUCUCUGACUAAUCUUCUGCUAACAAUCAAUGCAUAGGUAAGGUGCUCAAUGAAAUUGUCAUUUGUGCUAAAUAUCAUAAGAUUUUGCCUUGAUAAUUUCCAAAUUGUGUACUUAUAUCUUCUGCCCCUUGCAUUCUUCUGUUUUCCCAGCUAGGUGGCUUAAGUUCUCUCUUAACCUUUAAACAAACUUCGUCUAUCCGAAUGGUAUACAAGGUUCCUAGUUGAUCUCGAGGUUGUUC